UCCUGAAACACAUCCGCAAGCUGAAGGC
rnacentral:piRNA from 1 species